UUCCCCAUUAUUUCCCAUAAUUCCCCAUUAUUUCCCAUAAUUCCCCAUUUCCCCAUUAUUCCCAUUAUCCCCAUUAUUCCCAUAAUUCCCUAUUAUUUCCCAUUAUUCCCCAUUAUUUCCCAUAAUUCCCAUAAUUCCCAUUAUUCCCCAUUAUUCUCAUUAUUCCCCGUUAUAUCCCAUAAUUCCCAUUAUUCCGCAUUAUUCCCAUUAUUCCCCAUUGUUUCCCAUUAUCCCCAUUAUUUCCCAUUAUUCCCCAUUAUUCCCAUUAUCCCCGUAAUUCCCAUAUUCCCCAUUAUUUCCCAUUAUCCUCAUUAUUCCCAUUGUCCCCAUUUUCCCCAUUAUAUUCCCAUUAUUCCCCGUAAUUCCCAUAAUUCCCAUUGUUCCCCAUUGUUCCCCAUUUCCCCAUUACCCCCAUUAUCCCCAUCAACCCCAUAAUU
rnacentral:lncRNA from 1 species